rnacentral:rRNA from 1 species
GGGUAGAGCACUGUUUCGGCUAGGGGGUCAUCCCGACUUACCAACCCGAUGCAAACUGCGAAUACCGAAGAAUGUUAUCACGGGAGACACACGGCGGGUGCUAACGUCCGUCGUGAAGAGGGAAACAACCCAGACCGCCAGCUAAGGUCCCAAAGUCAUGGUUAAGUGGGAAACGAUGUGGGAAGGCACAGACAGCCAGGAUGUUGGCUUAGAAGCAGCCAUCAUUUAAAGAAAGCGUAAUAGCUCACUGGUCGAGUCGGCCUGCGCGGAAGAUGUAACGGGGCUAAACCAUGCACCGAAGCUGCGGCAGCGACACUAUGUGUUGUUGGGUAGGGGAGCGUUCUGUAAGCCGUUGAAGGUGGACUGUGAGGUCUGCUGGAGGUAUCAGAAGUGCGAAUGCUGACAUAAGUAACGAUAAAGCGGGUGAAAAACCCGCUCGCCGGAAGACCAAGGGUUCCUGUCCAACGUUAAUCGGGGCAGGGUGAGUCGACCCCUAAGGCGAGGCCGAAAGGCGUAGUCGAUGGGAAACAGGUUAAUAUUCCUGUACUCGGUGUUACUGCGAAGGGGGGACGGAGAAGGCUAUGUUGGCCGGGCGACGGUUGUCCCGGUUUAAGCGUGUAGGUGGAGCAAUUAGGUAAAUCCGGUUGCUUAUUAACACUGAGGCGUGAUGACGAGGCACUACGGUGCUGAAGUGACAAAUGCCCUGCUUCCAGGAAAAGCCUCUAAGCAUCAGGUAACACAGAAUCGUACCCCAAACCGACACAGGUGGUCAGGUAGAGAAUACCAAGGCGCUUGAGAGAACUCGGGUGAAGGAACUAGGCAAAAUGGUGCCGUAACUUCGGGAGAAGGCACGCUGGUGCGUAGGUGAAGCGACUUGCUCACGGAGCUGAAACCAGUCGAAGAUACCAGCUGGCUGCAACUGUUUAUUAAAAACACAGCACUGUGCAAACACGAAAGUGGACGUAUACGGUGUGACGCCUGCCCGGUGCCGGAAGGUUAAUUGAUGGGGUUAGCGGCAACGCGAAGCUCUUGAUCGAAGCCCCGGUAAACGGCGGCCGUAACUAUAACGGUCCUAAGGUAGCGAAAUUCCUUGUCGGGUAAGUUCCGACCUGCACGAAUGGCGUAAUGAUGGCC